AGGUCCUGCCUGCCCAGUGACUAUGUUAAACGGCCGCGGUAUUUUGACCGUGCAAAGGUAGCGCAAUCACUUGUCUUUUAAAUGAAGACCUGUAUGAAUGGUGAAACGAGGGCCUAACUGUCUCCCCUUUCAAGUCAAUGAAAUUGAUCUACCCGUGCAGAAGCGGGUGUACAAGCACAAGACGAGAAGACCCUUUGGAGCUUAAGAUUAAUAAUCAACUAUGUCAAGUAUUUAUAAAAUAAAACUAAAUAGCCACUGAUAAUAAUCUUCGGUUGGGGCGACCACGGAAUAAAAACAAACUUCCACACGGAUUGAGAAAUAAUCUUAAAACCAAGAAAGACACUUCUAAGUCACAGAAAUUCUGACCACACAGAUCCGGUAAUUUACCGAUCAAUGGACCAAGUUACCCUAGGGAUAACAGCGCAAUCCCCUUUUAGAGUUCCUAUCGACAAGGGGGUUUACGACCUCGAUGUUGGAUCAGGAC
rnacentral:rRNA from 1 species